UGCUAGUAUUAUUAAAUCUCUCUCUUUCCCAUUCUCUCGCUCUCGCUCUCUCGGUUCUCGCUCGGCAACUCGAAACCCUAGCAUUGCCCAGAUCUCAAUUUGAUUCAGGAAAAAAGAAUGAGCAGCCGUUCGAGUAGAACCAUUUACGUCGGAAACCUUCCCGGCGAUAUCCGCGAAAGAGAAGUUGAAGAUUUGUUCAUUAAGUAUGGACCUAUUGUUCAAAUUGAUUUGAAGAUUCCCCCGAGGCCUCCAGGCUAUGCUUUCGUUGAGUUUGAGGAUCCUCGGGAUGCUGACGAUGCAAUUUAUGGCCGUGAUGGUUAUGACUUUGAUGGGCAUCGUUUACGGGUGGAGCUAGCUCAUGGAGGGAGGCGUUCAUCACAUGAUGCUCGUGGUAGUUACAGUGGUGGUGGUGGUCGUGGCGGUCGUGAUGGUGGUGAUGGUGGUCGUGGGCGUGGCCCAUCUAGGAGAUCCGAGUACCGCGUUGUAGUGUCAGGUUUGCCUUCAUCUGCUUCCUGGCAAGACCUUAAGGAUCACAUGCGUAAAGGAGGAGAAGUCUGUUUCUCUCAAGUGUUCCGUGAUGGUAGAGGUACAACUGGAAUCGUAGAUUAUACCAGCUACGAGGACAUGAAGUAUGCGAUAAAAAAGCUUGACGAUACAGAGUUUCGGAAUGCGUUUUCUCAUGGAUAUGUCCGGGUUAGAGAAUAUGACUCAAGGAGGGAUUCGAGGAGCCCCAGCCGUGGAAGAUCCUAUUCUAAGAGUCGCAGCCGCAGCCGUGGGCGGAGCCACAGCCGUAGUCGCAGCAGAAGCAGGAGCAGAAGUCCAAAGGCUAAAUCUUCGCGUAGAUCGCCUGCUAGAUCUACAUCAAGAUCUCCUCGGUCUCGCUCCCGCUCUAAGUCAAGGUCACUGUCUCCGGGAGGAUAUGGAUAUACAUACAAUCAACUAAAAUAUGGGAAAUAGUAUCUGGAAUUCUGGAUCAUGGAUAUCUUGGUUGGGUUGUACACAACUGUUUCGUCUCAGAGAUUGGUAACAGUGGAGACAUUGGAUUGCAUUGAUAAUAGUGUCAUCAAAAUGGAUCCAUCAAGCUAGGAAAGAUAUUUUCAUUACCUGCUAUAUGGACAAGCGAUCUGGAUUCUCAUGGAACCGAUGCUGUUCUGGACACAGGGUUUGAUAGAAUUAGAUUUUUGCUUUGAUCCAUCUCUGUUUUAUGUGUGUUGGUUUUUUGAUCUGCUAGAAAUCGUCUGAAGUUGUCUUUUUGUGUGUGGCUUUCUUGUGACACUUUGAUGUCUGACAUGGAAUGAGGCAUCAAGGGUCUUGGUGAAACAGCUAGCUAUUAAACACGGAUUACAUAUUGGAUUAUUAAACUGGAUUUGUUUCUCGGACUUUUGCAGAUCUCGUUCAAGGUCAAGAUCUCCUCUACCAUCUGUUCAGAAGGAAGCUAGCAAGAGCCCUAGCAAGCAGCUGAGCCCAGCAAAGAGCCCUAUCCGUGGCAGGAGCAAGAGCAGAAGCAGGAGCUGGAGCCCAUCUCGGUAAAAGAAGUAUCUCAUAAUCAGGUAAAAGAAUCUGGGUCUGUUGGAAGAUUCUCCUAAAGAUGGUAUCUCUUUUAUCUUGUAGGUGUGACUAAAAACAAGUAAUGAUAAGCUGAAAACAAUUGUUAUUCUGGGGUACUAUACCUCUCAUGGGAUUUGAACUCUCUUUUUCUUUUAAUGAUAAAUUUGCAACUUGCAACUUUG